rnacentral:lncRNA from 1 species
UAUUCCAGAACGGCUGGUGUUGGUAGCUUGGAUCCUUCCAUUGCAGCAAAAGCAGCAAAUGUUGUCCAGCAGGCACAUGAGAGAAUGAAGAGAGAACGUGAUUCACAGACUAGUUCUGGAUGGGGGAGAGCUCAUCCUUCUACCGACAUAGAGGCACCUCUUAAACAGAGAAGACUGGACGAGGAUGGGAUCUGUUUUGGAUCCAAUGCGCCUCAGUAUGCUUGCCGACAGAGAGGCACCUCUUAAACAGAGAAGACUGGAUGAGGAUGGGAUCCGUUAUGGAUCCAAAGCGCCUCAGUAUGCAGAAAGGACUUAUGGUUUUAAUUCUAGCAAGUUUAACAGUACCAGGGAGCUGACGCCACUUGAAAACCGAAAUAUG